rnacentral:rRNA from 1 species
UUUCAUCUAAAGCUAAAUAUUGGCGAGAGACCGAUAGCGCACAAGUAGAGUGAUCGAAAGAUGAAAAGCACUUUGAAAAGAGAGUUAAAAAGUACGUGAAAUUGUUGAAAGGGAAGCGCUUGAGACCAGACUCGAUUUAUGGUGAUCAGCAGUCCUUCUGGGCUGUGCACUUGCCAUUCUUCGGGACAGCAUCGGUUCUGACCGUGUGAUAAAGGUAUUGGGAACGUGGCUCCUCUCGGGGAGUGUUAUAGCCCAGUACGUAAUGACACGAGUUGGGACCGAGGACCGCGCUUCGGCUAGGAUGCUGUCAUAAUGGUCUUCAGCGACCCGUCUUGAAACACGGACCAAGGAGUCUAACAUCUAUGCGAGUGU